UUUCUGGAGCUACAGCAGUGACAUCUGGCCUUGAGUCAUAUGUUGGUGUAUCAUUGCUUAAUAACAGAGGCGGGAAGAUCGGGAGUUUUCCCGGUGGGCCAGUCACUCCGCCCUGCUUUAUAUGUGUUCAUCGUUGUAUUCUGUGCUUUAUCAAUGUGUUUUUUAUUACUUUUUUAACAUUAAUUUAGAUUUAACAAUUAUUUGUAUUGAUCACUAACGUAAACAUCAAAUAUUUCUUAUCAGGUGACCCUGUCUACUGCUAACUUAAAACUGGAAAUACAUUAUCACUUAUCGAUUGUCUUUUAUAUCUCUAUCCUUUGAAUUCUGUUUGGGAAUUGGCUCUUACAUUGUUUGAGGUUGGCGCCGCCUAGUGGAACUAUUCUGCCCUUCCGCAAAGAUUCAGAGAUCACACGGAAGGUAAGUAGGCAGAAGCUUCUAUCUUUUUUGAUUUUGAGUUAGCGUUUUUAAUUAAUCUGGAGUUGAAGUUAAACGCUAUCAAUCCGUUUAAUUUCCAUACGUAUAUGUUGCGAGACAACACUUAAACCCGGGAAAACAGUGUCAUUUGCUAAUCAAUAACAUUAUGUUUAGCUGAGCUUUUUCGGGCUCAGGGGUGGAGGGGAUGUGUGAUGCUACUACUGCUUUGUGUGGGGUGCGGGUAACUGACCUUUAAGACAAUGACUGCCUUUCAUAAAAUUAUACAUUAUAUUUUGCAACAGUAUUUGUUCAUGAUUGUCUUCCAUUAACACUCGUUAGUUGUAACAACAUUAGCGUUAUCCACUACUACCAUAAAGCUAUUAGAUGAUCUAACGUUGAACUAGCAUCCAUUUCCAAGCAGUCUAACGUCCUUCCCUCUCUUACCGUUUAGUAUAAACUGCUUGAUUAACUAAAACCAAAACAAACGUAGCUAUCAAACAACAUGGUUGCUUUUAAAUGUACGUCUUUCCAUGUCUCUGUAUAUGAAAAUACUUCUCUUACUAUUGCAAUGUGUCACACAUGAGACUAACAUUCUUUCCUUACAAUGUCAGUGCCACUGAAAGUGUCCCCGACAGUGUCCCUCAGAGCAGAAGCAACAUGCAGAGCAGAAGGAUGACCCAGAGUUUCUACAAUGCCUCUGGUUUUGUCAACGGGACUUGCCACGUCCCACCUGUUGACUCUGAGUAUGCAUUGAACAGUAGCAGUUCGGCAAGUACAAUAGUUGUCCAGUCCAACAAGAAGACAGUGGUAGAGAAUGGCUAUUCUUCAUCAGCACGACCAAAGAGCAGAAGACGGCGAAAAGGCCUUGGAUCCAAGAAAAGGAGCCGACUUUGGCCCCCACCAGUGGAUACGGCCGUCUGGCCGACGCACCCCGCAGAGGACGAGGACUGGGAGAAAGACAUCCAGGAGGUUGUGCUGGUAGACUGGGAGAAGAGGACUUUUGGACUACAGCCAUACGGUCCAGAGGACCUGUUAAGUUUUGCUCUGCGUGAUGUAUCACUGCACCCCACGGCCCCCCCCAUAACGGCGGGGUACACCCCAGCGGGGAGCCACCCCCCGCCUAUUUUGUGGAAGUGCUACUCGGGUCCCCCGGAGGAGGGACAGUUCUCAGAUGUGGAUGAAUAAGGAAAGAUAGACCAGAUGCACUGUUUACCACCUGCCUUUGAUUAAGCAUGUGCCAAGCUGCUAUAGUUGUGUUUUUAUACGUUCAGAAUUACCACAGUUAUCUUCAGAUUUUAUGUAUUUUUAAUUUUGGCUAUUUGAUUUUCAGGCCGGUGGCUUGUUCAUUGUUAAUUUUUCCAUUUGGUUAUUUGGUGUUUUUAAUUUUGGUCCAGCACAGAAGGAAAUGUGUUGCCAAUUCCCUUGAGCAAAUUUGUAUUAAGGAGUGAUCAAACCAGUUUUGUUACAUAGUGGUAAUUGUAUAUUUAGAAUGUUUUCUUGAAAGACAUAAGUUAUGUUUGGGGAGUUAAUUAUGUCACAGCAUUUACAGUCAAAAUUAAAACUUUUGUUAGAGAAUAUAUUUAAGAAUGAGUAUGUUAUUGGAACCCUCAAAUUAUAUUUUGUUUUUGCACCAACAAGGCAUAUAUUCAUAUUAAAAGUGAUUGUUGCGCCAUAAUCAGUUUCAUAGUGAGUUGGGUUAAUCAUGUGAUGGCAGGCAGGGUGAUAAAGGGAUCUUCU
ensembl:lncRNA